rnacentral:rRNA from 1 species
AAUAUUGCACAAUGGGCGCAAGCCUGAUGCAGCCAUGCCGCGUGUAUGAAGAAGGCCUUCGGGUUGUAAAGUACUUUCAGCAGUGAGGAAGGUGGGUAUGUUAAUAGCAUACUCAUUUGACGUUAGCUGCAGAAGAAGCACCGGCUAACUCCGUGCCAGCAGCCGCGGUAAUACGGAGGGUGCGGGCGUUAAUCGGAAUUACUGGGCGUAAAGCGCAUGCAGGUGGUUUGUUAAGUCAGAUGUGAAAGCCCGGGGCUCAACCUCGGAAUUGCAUUUGAAACUGGCAAACUAGAGUACUGUAGAGGGGGUAGGAAUUUCAGGUGUAGCGGUGAAAUGCGUAGAGAUCUGAAGGAAUACCGGUGGCGAAGGCGGCCCCCUGGACAGAUACUGACACUCAGAUGCGAAAGCGUGGGGAGCAAACAGGAUUAGAUACCCUGGUAG